CAGUAGCCGCGGUAAUACAGAGGGUGCAAGCGUUAGUCGGAAUUACUGGGCGUAAAGCGCGCGUAGGUGGUUUGUUAAGUUGGAUGUGAAAUCCCCGGGCUCAACCUGGGAACUGCAUCCAAAACUGGCAAGCUAGAGUAUGGUAGAGGGUGGUGGAAUUUCCUGUGUAGCGGUGAAAUGCGUAGAUAUAGGAAGGAACACCAGUGGCGAAGGCGACCACCUGGACUGAUACUGACACUGAGGUGCGAAAGCGUGGGGAGCAAACAGGAUUAGAUACCCCAGUAGUCCCUGUCUCUUAUAC
rnacentral:rRNA from 1 species